UAACUCUUCAUCCUAAACGCUAGCCUCUAACAGUAACCUUUAAGCCAAUCCUUAGGGGUUUUCCUGAAGCCUUUGCACUGACUGAACUUGGUAGCAUUUCCACGUGAAGCCUUAUCUAAUGCAGUAACCCGCCAAUCUGAUGCCAAAGGGUAACGGUCCGCAGUUAGUAGUAAGACUAAAUAGUAGCACUUAACCGUAAUCCAGCAGGGGAUGAGGCCGAGCUUGUCUUCUGCCAGGGCUGCUCUCAGCCCCAGGGCACGGCGAGCGGCUGCGGGCAGUGCAUCUCCCAGCUGAGGUGCCUGUAAACAUCUGCCAGCUGUCCUUGUGGACGGCCCGUCAUCGUCAUGGGAACUGAUUGUAACAGCACAAAGGUUCCAGGAGCGUGGGUGAUGUCAGCUGUGACAUCCUCUGGGGGGCCUGGAGCCGCCCUUUUUUGGCCUUGCAGCCCAUCAAGCCAAAGCCUGCUGUCCUGCACGUGGUCCCACCGGGCAGAAACUCUUGGGACGGAGGAAGGUUCAGGGGAGGGGACAGAUGCCUGAGGGCAUUCUUUGAUUCCAUCCCGAGAGUUGUCUUUGUCU
rnacentral:lncRNA from 1 species